AGGUGUCGGUCAACAGCGCAGAGGAAUAUGAAGAAGCUCUGAAGAUCGCUGCAAAACAAGGCCGCCAGCUACAGAUGAACGUUUAUGAAUUAAGUCCUGCUCUGGGCACAUCUUCGUGUCAAGUCCCUGAGGAAUUUGAGGUGGCCCCUGGGGAUGGGAGGAAACAUCUC